AACGCAAAUUGCGCCUUCUUUCGGAAGGCAUGUCUGUUUGAGGGCACCAUUUAACAAAUAAUGUGCGCGUCGUUUUUACGAGCGAUGUGCACACGUUGAUGAGCUUUUCCGAAAAAACCAGGUUUUUUUGGUGGCGCAUAAUGAACAGCGUGGGCUUUUUCUUCGAUUCUCGUGUAGUAAAUCUUCAACGCUUGGGUUGAGAAAAAGUGCGUGCCGCGCAAUGGGUGUGGCGAAUCUACCCCUGCCCCAAUGCCACUCUUUCCCUGCGAAAGAACAUCUUUUAUUCAGGGCCUCAAAUCAGACAAGAGUACCCGCUGAACUUAA
rnacentral:misc_RNA from 1 species